AAAAUGUUGCUUUCACGUGUCCCUAGAAAAUUAUCUCUAGAAUACCAAAAAACAAGCGUAUUCCUAGAAAUUGUUGCUGCUUUCAUUUGUCCCAAGAAAAUGUUCCGUCCCCUAUAAAUAAUAGAUCUUCCCCUCUCUUCAUUCGUCGCAAAGCCUGAUACGGUGACGGGAGUUGUUAGCCCAAAACGGUGACGGGGUAUUGAUCCACCCCCUCUCUUCCGUCGACGCAAAGCCUGAUACGGUGACGGGAGUUGUUCCGAAAGGAAUUGGUGCAAAGCCAGAAAGAGUGACGGAGGAGUUGCACAAAAUUGGUGCAACCCCCUAAAUUUCGGGUGACAGAGGAAUUGGUCCCAGCCAGGUGAGUAGAUUUUCUUUUGCUUAUAGUUGUUUAAUUUUAUUGCAUCCAUUCUUCUCUAAAACUGUUUCAUUCACGCACGCCGACGGACUGAGUGUAGAAACAGAAGUCUGGAUCUGGAAUAUGGAGGACUCAUAGACGUGUGGUGGUCGAUGACUCGACGGCCGACGUGUUGAGUCUGUCAGUAAAGGGGGGUUGAGUCUGUCAGUAAAGUGGGGAGAAGGAGGAGAGGAGAGAGUGCAGGGACGAUUCGAGAGAUGUGUUGAGUCUGUUGACAGAGCGGAGGAGGAGAGGAGAGAACGCAGAAACGAUUCGAGAGGCCUGAGUUUGAGAGAGAGAGUGCAGACUCUGGGUGAUACGAGAUAGUGACCCAACGGUUGGAUUUAAUCUCAACAGAAUCCAACGCUUACAAUUUAUUCUAAUAUAUAUAAUUAUAAGAAUAUAUAUAUCGGUUCGGGACUUACCGAACAUUUGGCAAACAGAUCCCAAUUCCCAACCGAAAUUCGAGGAUUUUUUGGGUAUGGAUUAUUGAAUUUUUCGGAAUUUUUUGUUUUGGGAUUUUUUAAUUUUGGGUUCAGGAUAGGGGAGAAAUAUGUAGAUAUAUGAAUUGAUAGGCUUUUGUGGAAUUGAAUUAGUGCCCAUGUGAUUCUUGUUUCGUUUUAAUAUUUCUGUGUAAUAAAUAAAUGAGAAAUAUGUAGAUAUAUGAAAGAAAUGAGGAAUAAAAAAUAGUGAAGAUACAAUAUGCGAAUGAAACGGGGUCUUGAAUAAGCUCAUGUUCUUAAUUAGCUAAUAAAUUAGUUUGGGUUGUGGGCAGAUAUUCUAACGGUUGAUGACACAAGCCGUUAACUAAUAUGGAAGAAAUUGAAAAUUAGGAAUCCCUGUUAUUCAUUAGAGUAAUGCUAGGGAGAUAAAUUUUUUUAGAUCACUAAAUUACUUGUCACAUACAGUGAUUAAGUAUUGUGGUCUAAAAAAGAUAGGUUGCCUAAGAGCAUUCUCAAUGGGGUCUUUAUCAUCGUGAGGCUAUUGCAUUUAAAGCCUUGGUGAGAAAUUUCAUUCCCAAUAAGCCGAAAAAUAAGGCUAGAUCCAUCACUUGGGCUAAUAACUUCGUUUCUUGGGUAGCAUAAAAUUGGACUACAUAUAGCCUAAAAAACAGUAAGUCCCACAAGAAGUAGCAACCCAUGUGAGCCACUCUCGCUUCACUUAAGAAUACACUUAACACUAAUUCUGUACUACUGUCAAUUCAAUAAACAUACGAGUCUUUUUAACAAAAUCAGUUUGAUAUUUAUUAAUAUCAUGGUUUUAAUAUAUUAAUAUCGGAUUCAAAAUUUUCGGUCCAUUAUAAAUGAGUGAAUUUUAUGAGUCAAUAUAUGAUUAUCACACUCAGAAAAUAGCCCCUUGCGAAAAAUUCCUUAGUCGAUCGUCCAGCGGUAUAACCUAAUAAAAAAAAAGAAAAAAAAAGAAUCUUCCUAGAUAGUUUCUGUUCCUGACAUCCUGUUAUUCUGUUACUCCUGUGAAAAUGCUUUUUCGGUGACACUUAGAGUGCAUUUACUAAUCUAUAAUCAAAUUAAGAAGAAAUGAAUUAAGAAGAAAUUAGAUCGAGGUGGAAUCAGAAUCAGGUUCAUUGAUAACAAUUGAAAGCAUAAAUGUAUAUAUAAAUAUUUUUUUGACCAUAAAAAAAACCUAUAAAUAUUUCAAAUUCACGAGUUUAAUUCCAUAUCAAACUAGUUUUGUUAAAAAGACUUACAUAUUUAUUAAAAGGAAAACUAAUGAAAAAGACUUGAAAACUUUGAGUUUUAAUGAUAAGGACAAAAUAAAGGGUAAAGUGAAUAGUACCAGGAUUGAUUUUUUAGUGUAAAAAUGUGGUUUUUCGUUAAAGUGAACAGUACCGGGUGCUUUUCGUUAAAGUUUCCUUUAUUAAAUUCACACUAGCGUAGUAUUAGUGUUAUAAGUAUCAAAAUUAAGCUGUUUAAAAACAUUUUUAUAUAUUAAUAUCACAUUUAAACACAUUUAGAGAGGGAAACGUGUCAUUUAAACACAUUUCUUUGUUUUUUGUGUAUAUUUGAAAAGUGUGAAUAAAUAAUUAUUUUAGGUAUUAGACCAAAAUGCCCUGGAAUUGAACAAAGAAAAUCGCGGCUCUUAAAUGGUCUAAAAUAUCCAUAAAUCUCGAUAUUUUCAUCGAAAUUUCUGUGUUUUUGGACUACCGAUAUUUUUUGGGACUACCGAUAUUUCCGAUAUCAUCGAUAUUUUAGACAUUGCUAAGUCAAUCAUGUAUCUUACCAUGCAAUGUAUAAAGUGUAAAAUAUUGUACUAAUUCAUUAUAUAUAAAUGAUUAUGGUGUGUUUAAACUUCUUUCAUUAAUUACUACAUAUUUUCUACACUCACAAUGUUUGCCAGCUCGCUAUAUAAUCAACUUAAAUCAGUUAUAUCUAUCAUGCAAUGCAUUUCCUUUUAAUUUUUUGUGAUAAACUAAUAGAUAAUUGACUAAAUAAACAUCCUGCAAAGUUUCAAUAAAAAUUUUCAAGUUUUUCUUACAAUUUCCGUGGUUUUUAUUCAAUUUUUAUCGAUAUCGAUAAUAUCCCGAUAUUUCUAUCGAAAUUUCCGUGUUUUUGGACUACCGAUAUUUCCGAUAUCAUCGAUAUUUAAUACCUUACUCUUAAUCAAGGUGGGGAAGAAAGGGGGCUCAAAAGAUAACACGAAUACCGAGAAGUGCAUGUCAGAAAAAUCCCGGGCUCGCAUGGAAUUGGAUCCUCUCCUGAGCACAAGCUCAGAGCCCCCUGAUCAGUGUACGUGGGCAGUUAGAUUUUGAUCUAAACGGCUACAAACAAGGAUCAUUUUUAAAAUUAUAAUAAUUGUAACCGUUGGUCAAAAUUCAACGGUCCACGUGCGCUGGUCAGCAGACUCCUGAGCUUGUGCCCAGAAGAGGAUCCAAUUCCGAUUCGCAUCUAUUUUUAUUUUUGACAAAGGUUUUUUUUUUUUUUUUUUUUGUCAAAUCUGACAAAGAUAUCGACUCCUAUAUAAAAAAAAAUGGAACCUCAUACAAAGUGAGCACGGGACGAACCUUUUCUUUUUCUUUCAUUCUCUCUACUUUCUAAUUAUUUGGUUUUACUACUCCUAAUAAAGUACUUAUAAGGUGAUUAGCUAGAGAAAUUCAUCCACUAACUAAUCUAAUUUUCUUUCCAGCAUCACAAUGGAGGAUAUUGGUCUUCACACGUGCAAUUUCUUUUUGCUCACCAUGCUAGGCGUGCUCCUACAAGUUAAAUGUUCAACAUUGCAAGAGUCUCUAUUUGAUACAGACUACGUCAUUGUUUCAACAUUAAUUGUCAA
rnacentral:lncRNA from 1 species